UCGUCUUAGAUUGUGCUGUGUCCUGCAUGAAUAAAGAGAUACUGCCUACAGCUCAACCCUAAGUCCCUGGUCGUCUGUUACCCGCCCGUGAAGCCAGCCCGGUGAAAACAACAUAGCCCGGCGAAAACAACAGAAAGAAGGAUCCUUUUUGCCAUGCUCCUGGGGGACAGUUGACAGCCAUGAUGAGGCCUCGUGUUCACAAAGAUUGUGUCGACCAAACUGCCUUCGUUAAGUAAUAAUUAAUUUGUUUCUCAAUUGUUUAAUUAAUCAAAGACACAAAUAACUGCCAGCCUGAGCUUUUCCUCUGUGUGGGGGAAAGAGUACCAGAAUGCUGACAGGAAGCACCUGCCACAUACCACAAACUAACCACAGGCUCCCCAUGCCAUCUACAAUCUUGCUGUCACAGCACCCUGUUGAGGAAGACACAGGUGGAGGCUGGAUGCUCGAACCCAGUUUCUUGAGCAUGGUUACAUGUGCACUAUACCAGGUGCAACACCAUCCAGCCCCAAGGGUGACGUUUUUGAGGUGAUGCCACAAUCAACUCUUAAAAAUCUACCUGUACAUAAUUCCAGCUUUGUUAAAGUCACUCACGAAACCAGAUGAAGCUGAUGAGAUGACAAGCUUUCUUUCCUUCCUUCUGACCACCGAUGGGACUGAUGAACAUGUACGCCAAUUUUCAUAAUGAAUUCCACUUCUCUCCUAAAAAUAAAACAACCUCUUAUUGUCAUGUGGAAAACUGAGAAAUGUUACGCAUGUACAAACUAUUGUAUUUACUGUCAACUGUAAAACAUCAA